rnacentral:rRNA from 1 species
UACGUAGGGUGCAAGCGUUUGUCCGGAAUUAUUGGGCGUAAAGAGCUCGUAGGCGGUCUGUCGCGUCUGCUGUGAAAACUCAGGGCUUAACCCUGAGCUUGCAGUGGGUACGGGCAGACUAGAGUGCGGUAGGGGAGACUGGAAUUCCUGGUGUAGCGGUGAAAUGCGCCAGAGUAUCGAGGAGGAACACCGGUGGCGAAGGCGGGUCUCUGGGCCGGUAACUGACGGCUGGAGGAGCGAAAGCAUGGGAGCGAACAGG